CGCAAUGGGCGCAAGCCUGACGGAGCGAUACAGCGUGGUAGAUGAAGUGCCUCGGCACGUAAAUACCUUUUAUGAGGGACGAAAUUAUUGACGGUACCUCAUGAAUAAGGGGCUCCUAACUCUGUGCCAGCAGGAGCGGUAAUACAGAGGCCCCAAGCAUUAUCCGGAAUCACUGGGCGUAAAGGGUGUCAAGGCGGUCAUAUUAGUCUUCCGUUAAAUCCAGGAGCUCAACUUCUGGCCCGCGGGAGAAACGGUAUGACUAGAGGUUGGAAGAGGUGCGUGGAACUCACGGUGUAGGGGUGAAAUCCGUUGAUAUCGUGGGGAACACCAAAGGCGAAGGCAGCGCACUGGUCCAAAUCUGACGCUCACACACGAAAGCCA
rnacentral:rRNA from 1 species